UCCGUAGGCGGGCGUCUAAGUCAGUGGUGAAAUCUUACAGCUCAACUGUAAAAUUGCCAUUGAUACUGGAUGUCUUGAAUUAGUGUGAAGUGGUUAGAAUGUGUAGUGUAGCGGUGAAAUGCAUAGAUAUUACACAGAAUACCAAUUGCGACGGCAGAUCACUAACACUAUAUUGACGCUGAGGGACGAAAGCGUGGGGAGCGAACAGGAUUAGAUACCCUGGUAGUCC
rnacentral:rRNA from 1 species